GUUGAGAUUUCCCUCCAGAUGUCAACGUCUAAGAGUGAUAAGAUGUACGGAUCCAAUGGCGAUUGGGACCUGUAUAACAACGAAGAGUCCUCACGUGCUGUAGUGAGAGAGUGAAAUAGUCCGACUACCUGUCGUACGAUUCUGUUCCAUGCCCGACCUGUCAAAAUUCGGUAGGGGUUCCUGGUAUACAUGCCACCUACAAGAUAGGGUAUAAUAUAG